rnacentral:misc_RNA from 1 species
GAAUAUGCAGCAUGCCAAUGUUACUACCCUACUCUUAUGCAUGUUUGCCUGGAGAAGAGAUUUUUUGCAGUCCAACACCUGCAGGAGAGAAUUAAUUGGCCAGCUUAGGCAAAAUACCAUGGAAAUUGCACUUUCAUUUUUGUGUAGAAUUCUGCCAAUGUAACAUGCAUCACGAGUAUCAUAAAUGAUAUGCAAUUUCGUAGUACAGCUUCUCAAGAUCCAGUUCAAUCAGAUAUUAAGUAAAAACAUUACAGAAUGAAUAAUCCCUAGCUUUGCCAAUACCACAAGCAAGCUUCAAGAGAGUUUAAAUGAGCGGUUCAAGGAUCUGAUAUACAACUAACCUACUCGUAUUCCCCCUUUUAAGCAGAAUCAUUAAGAUCACUGCAGCAUUGAUAAUAAAAAACCCAAUCAAAUUUAAAGUUGUAAAUUGCUGAAAGACCAAGAGUUAUAGUUUUUACACUAUUAUUGCAUUUGGUUUUCAAAGCUUCAAUGCUUUUGUUAAAUUGCAAAAGAAGUCUUCUGGCUUGAAAUACAACCAUUCUUCUACAAAUUCACUAUCUCACUUGUUAGACAGCUCCAUCUGCAGAAAAAUAUAAUCCUGAAAGAUGUAAAUAUAAACACACCACUUGCAAUACAAAGAAACUAUGAAGAAAAUAUCUAUUUAAAUAAAUUCAUGUAACAGUUGUACGCUGUGCCUGGGUUAUCCAUUCACAGCAAAAAUAACACAGUAGCUUAUAAUAAACGGCACAAAAGAACAACAAAAUGGAAACACAGACCACCUUACUUGUCAGUCACAACACAAUCAUACAACAGGACCUGCUACUGUCUCCCACAUUGGCGGUAGUAGGGGGACAAAAAAAUGCAAGCAUAAGCAUAUGUAUGAAUAUAUAUAAUGCAAGAUAUAUUGAAUACAAGGAUAGGAAAAAGAGGGAAAAUAUAGUUUUCUUCACAUGCUUGGUAGGAAAGAAAAGUGAAAGGAAAUAAAAUAUGUUUCAGCAUUAUACCUUUAUGAGCUCAAAUGGAAUAUCAAUAUUGUCAUAAGAAGAGGUAGAUUUAUAAACUCUAAGACCAAUCAAACUUCCUCUUCCUUACAUUUUCUGCUCUCUUUGCACCCUAAAUUUUUUAUAGGAUGAGGAAACAUGUGCCCAGCCACCCAACAGUGCUAUCAAAGGGGCGUCUACGGCACAAGGUGCGUUAGGCCCAAGGGUCCGUGCCUCCAAACCUCAAAGGCGGGUGACUUCUGUUUGGGACAAAGUUUUUAGAGGUAAAAAGUAUGGUAAAGUAGCGAAUUUAUUUGGGAGAAAGGUUUUUUUGAAGGGCGUAAGGUUUUACAUUCAAAAACCUCACUUUUUCAACCCACCAAAUUGGUGGAUUGAGGAGAUUUUGAUACCUUAUCUUCCAUUAUUUUACCUUACCUUACUUAAAAAAAAAAAAAAAUCUCUAUACACUCUAUCUAAACAU